GCAGUAGUGGUUCAUGGUAGAAUUCUCAUCUUUCAUGUGGGAGACCCAGAUUUGAUUCCUGGCCAAUGCA
rnacentral:tRNA from 1 species